rnacentral:rRNA from 1 species
AUUGAACGCUGGCGGCAGGCCUAACACAUGCAAGUCGAGCGGAUGAAGGGAGCUUGCUCCUGGAUUCAGCGGCGGACGGGUGAGUAAUGCCUAGGAAUCUGCCUGGUAGUGGGGGAUAACGUCCGGAAACGGGCGCUAAUACCGCAUACGUCCUGAGGGAGAGAGUGGGGGAUCUUCGGACCUCACGCUAUCAGAUGAGCCUAGGUCGGAUUAGCUAGUUGGUGGGGUAAAGGCCUACCAAGGCGACGAUCCGUAACUGGUCUGAGAGGAUGAUCAGUCACACUGGAACUGAGACACGGUCCAGACUCCUACGGGAGGCAGCAGUGGGGAAUAUUGGACAAUGGGCGAAAGCCUGAUCCAGCCAUGCCGCGUGUGUGAAGAAGGUCUUCGGAUUGUAAAGCACUUUAAGUUGGGAGGAAGGGCAGUAAGUUAAUACCUUGCUGUUUUGACGUUACCAACAGAAUAAGCACCGGCUAACUUCGU